rnacentral:rRNA from 1 species
UACGGAGGGUGCGAGCGUUGUCCGGAAUCACUGGGCGUAAAGGGCGCGUAGGCGGCGCGGAAAGUCGUCGGUGAAAGCUCGGGGCUCAACCCUGAGUCUGCCGGUGAUACUCCCGCGCUCGAGCUCACUAGAGGCAGAUGGAAUUCCGGGUGUAGCGGUGGAAUGCGUAGAGAUCCGGAGGAAGACCGGUGGCGAAGGCGGCCUGCUGG